AAUUGGCGGGAAAAAUAUUUUUGAAAACAAAAUUUGGCGGGAAUUUUUUUUCGAAAAGUUUUGGCGGGAAAUUUUUUUUCGAAAAUUUUGGGCGGGAAAAUUUUGGCGGGAAAUUGAUUUUGGAAUAUUUUAGGCGAAAAAAUAUUAAUAUUUCAUUUUGUUAACCUAAAACAAUUCUAAAUAAGGGUAAAAUGGUCAUUGAAAAUUUAAAGAGGGUAAAAAUAAAAAUGGAUAAAACAAAACGGUAGAGUUGAAAAGGAGCAUCAUGAAAAGGGCAUUAGAAAGAAUUUUUCUAUAUUCAAA
rnacentral:sRNA from 1 species